UACAGAGGUCUCAAGCGUUGUUCGGAUUCAUUGGGCGUAAAGGGUGCGUAGGUGGCGGGGUAAGUCAGGUGUGAAAUCUCGGGGCUCAACCCCGAAACUGCACUUGAUACUGCCUUGCUCGAGUACUGGAGAGGAGAUUGGAAUUUACGGUGUAGCAGUGAAAUGCGUAGAUAUCGUAAGGAAGACCAGUGGCGAAGGCGGGUCUCUGGACAGUUCCUGACACUGAGACACGAAGGCCAGGGGAGCAAACGGG
rnacentral:rRNA from 1 species